rnacentral:piRNA from 1 species
UAGGAUAGAACAUGGGACCUAACUGGAAC